rnacentral:rRNA from 1 species
UACGGAGGAUGCAAGCGUUAUCCGGAAUGAUUGGGCGUAAAGCGUCCGCAGGUGGCCAUUCAAGUCUGCUGUUAAAGCACAGGGCUCAACCCUGGAUCGGCAGUGGAAACUGAACGGCUAGAGAGUGGUAGGGGCAGAGGGAAUUCCCAGUGUAGCGGUGAAAUGCGUAGAGAUUGGGAAGAACACCAGUGGCGAAGGCGCUCUGCUGGACCACAACUGACACUCAGGGACGAAAGCUAGGGGAGCGAAUGGG